rnacentral:lncRNA from 1 species
UAGGUUACAAGAAAGGAUAUGAUUAAGAGAAUUCAACAAAGUUGCCUAUCCUAAGGGAGCAUUCCCAAACAUUCAACUCUACACAAUUUCCCUUUCUUUGAUCCCUAUCUUUUUCUUUUUCUUUUCAAAUCCACACAACCAUGAGCAUUUUCUUUGCUUUUUUUUUUCUUUGCUCUAUGGUUUCAAGGGUGAUUUUUUUUUUUUUUUACAUCAUAUUUUCACCCUUUCAUAAAAAUUCACUUUUCCAAGUUUCUAAUCACAUCUUUUUAUUUUACUCUCCCCAACUUUAGAUUCCAAAACCAAAUUUAUUUACUAAUGCUCCCUACUUAGACAUAAGCAAAAGGCAAAAUUUGCAAACAACUCGG